rnacentral:rRNA from 1 species
AACGAACGCUGGCGGCAUGCCUAACACAUGCAAGUCGAACGAGACCUCCGGGUUUAGUGGCUCACGGGUGCGUAACGCGUGGGAACCUGCCUUUAUACUCUGAAUUACUCUUUGAAAUGGGUGCUAAUACCGGGUAAUGUCUUCGGAUCAAAGAUGUUUCUCCUUGGUAUGGGCCGGCGUUGUUCUAGCUUGUUGGUAGGGUAAAAGCCUACUAAGGCGACGAUCCAUAGCGUGUCUGAGAGGAUGAUCAGCCACACUGAGACUGGGACACGACCCAGACUGCUGGGAGAGGCAGCAGAGGGGGAUAAAGGACUAGGGGCGAGAGGCUGAACCAGCAAUGGCGCGUGAGUGAUGAAGGCGUUAGGGUUGUAAAGCGCUUUUACCCGGGAUGAUAAUGACGGUACCGGGAGAAUAAGCACCGGCUAACUCCGUG